rnacentral:rRNA from 1 species
UACGUAGGGUGCGAGCGUUGUCCGGAAUUAUUGGGCGUAAAGGGCGCGUAGGCGGCAUGGCAAGUGGAUGGUGAAAUCCCUCGGCUUAACCGAGGAACUGCCGUCCAAACUGCUUCGCUUGAGACCGGGAGAGGUGAGUGGAAUUCCCAGUGUAGCGGUGAAAUGCGUAGAUAUCGGGAGGAACACCAGUGGCGAAGGCGACUUCCUGGCCUGUUCUUGACGCUGAGGCGCGAAAGCUAGGGGAGCAAAUGGG